rnacentral:rRNA from 2 species
AAAGUGGCGGGGUGCUAAUACAUGCAAGUCGAGCGGAUUGAUGGGAGCUUGCUCCCUGAUAUCAGCGGCGGACGGGUGAGUAACACGUGGGUAACCUGCCUGUAAGACUGGGAUAACUCCGGGAAACCGGGGCUAAUACCGGAUAACUCAUUUCCUCGCAUGAGGAAAUGUUGAAAGAUGGCUUCUUGCUAUCACUUACAGAUGGACCCGCGGCGCAUUACCUAGUUGGUGAGGUAACGGCUCACCAAGGCAACGAUGCGUAGCCAACCUGAAAGGGUGAUCGGCCACACUGGGACUGAAACACGGCCCAAACUCCUACGGGAGGCAGCAGUAGGGAAUCUUCCGCAAUGGACAAAAGUCUGACGGAGCAACGCCGCGUGAGUGAUGAAGGUUUUCGGAUCGUAAAGCUCUGUUGUUAGGGAAAAACAAGUGCCGUUCGAAUAGGGCGGCACCUUGACGGUACCUAACCAGAAAGCCACGGCUAACUACGUGCCACCAGCCGCGGUAAUACGUAGGUGGCAAGCGUUGUCCGGAAUUAUUGGGCGUAAAGCGCGCGCAGGUGGUUUCUUAAGUCUGAUGUGAAAGCCCACGGCUCAACCGUGGAGGGUCAUUGGAAACUGGGGAACUUGAGUGCAGAAGAGGAAAGUGGAAUUCCAAGUGUAGCGGUGAAAUGCGUAGAUAUUUGGAGGAACACCAGUGGCGAAGGCGACUUUCUGGUCUGUAACUGACACUGAGGCGCGAAAGCGUGGGGGAGCAAACAGGAUUAGAUACCCUGGUAGUCCACGCCGUAAACGAUGAAGUGCUAAGUGUUAGGGGGUUUCCGCCCCUUAGUGCUGCAGCUAACGCAUUAAGCACUCCGCCUGGGGGAGUACGGUCGCAAGACUGAAACUUCAAAGGAAUUGACGGGGGCCCGCACAGCGGUGGAGCAUGUGUUUAAUUUCGAAGCAACGCGAAGACUUUACAGGUCUGGACAUCCUCUGACAACCUAGAAGAUAGGCUUUCCCUUCGGGGACAGAGUGAACAGGUGAUGCAUGAUGGUCGUCAGCUCGUGUCUGAAUGGUGGGUAAGUUCCCGCACGGAGCCACAUGGAAUCUAGUGGCAGCAUCAGUGCACCUCUAAGAUGAC